rnacentral:rRNA from 1 species
UCGGGAAUUUUGGGCAAUGGGCGCAAGCCUGACCCAGCAACGCCGCGUGAAGGAUGAAAUCCCUCGGGAUGUAAACUUCGCAAGAAUGGGAAGAAUAAGUGCGGGCUAAUACCCCGCAUGAUGACGGUACCAUUUGUAAGCUCCGGCUAACUCCGUGCCAGCAGCCGCGGUAAUACGGGGGGAGCAAGCGUUGUUCGGAUUUACUGGGCGUAAAGGGCGCGUAGGCGGCCACGACAAGUCAGUUGUGAAAUCUCAGGGCUUAACCCUGAGCGGUCAACUGAUACUGUCGGGCUAGAGUGCAGAAGGGGCAACUGGAAUUCUCGGUGUAGCGGUGAAAUGCGUAGAUAUCGAGAGGAACACCUGCGGCGAAGGCGGGUUGCUGGGCUGACACUGACGCUGAGGCGCGAAAGCCAGGGGAGCGAACGGGAUUAGAUACCCCCGUAGUCC